rnacentral:tRNA from 1 species
GGGCCUAUAGUCUAACGGCUAUGACGUCUGCCUUACGAGCAGGAGAUAGGGGUUCAACUCCCCUUGGGCCCA